UCAAACUUGGUCAUUUAGAGGAAGUAAAAGUCGUAACAAGGUCUCCGUAGGUGAACCUGCGGAGGGAUCAUUACUGAGUGAGGGCUUCUGGCCCGACCUCCAACCCUUUGUUAUUAAACCAAUGUUGCCUCGGGGGCGACCCGGGCCCGUCUCGGUGAGCCCCCGGUGGACCACUUCAAAACACUGCAUCUAUGCAUCAGAUCAAACAAGUUUAAUUUAUUAAAACUUUCAACAACGGAUCUCUUGGUUCUGGCAUCGAUGAAGAACGCAGC
rnacentral:misc_RNA from 1 species